GAUGAACGCUGGCGGCGUGCCUAAUACAUGCAAGUCGAGCGAACAGAUGAGGAGCUUGCUCCUCUGACGUUAGCGGCGGACGGGUGAGUAACACGUGGAUAACCUACCUAUAAGACUGGGAUAACUUCGGGAAACCGGAGCUAAUACCGGAUAAUAUAUUGAACCGCUUGGUUCAAUAGUGAAAGACGGUUUUGCUGUCACUUAUAGAUGGAUCCGCGCCGCAUUAGCUAGUUGGUAAGGUAACGGCUUACCAAGGCAACGAUGCGUACCCGACCUGAGAGGGUGAUCGGCCACACUGGAACUGAGACACGGUCCAGACUCCUACGGGAGGCAGCAGUAGGGAAUCUUCCGCAAUGGGCGAAAGCCGGACGGAGCAACGCCGCGUGAGUGAUGAAGGUCUUCGGAUCGUAGAGCUCUGUUAUUAGGGGAGAACAAAUGUGUAAGUAACUAUGCACGUCUUGACGGUACCUAAUCAGAAAGCCACGGCUAACUACGUG
rnacentral:rRNA from 1 species